GUGUGUUGUGAUUAUUCAAAUGUCCAUCCGAUUAGCCUCACCCAGUGUGGAAGAUGCGAUGGAAACCACUGUCUGUAGAUGGGGCAGUGAGGGAAGGCUGGGAACAAGGGGAUGAAAUUUUCUGUAGCAUCUGCUGUUAACAGCAAAACGUAUAAAAUUAAAAUGUGCAUAGCUUUGCCAUUUGUCACUGGAGACGUGUCUGAAUAAAUAUACCCACACACCACAGGAGAAAAAAGAUGUCUCAACAAACACAGAGAGCAUGGAUUUCAAAUAAUUUUCUAAAGUAACCAGAUGCUUAUGCUAGUCUUGCCACCAUCUAUGUCAUAUCUUUGAGUCUUUUGAUAGAUGUACUGUUUUACUGUUUGGUAACUUCUGAGUCUCUUCUAGGUGGGCUACCCUAAUGUUGGUAAGAGUUCAACAAUCAACACCAUCAUGGGCAACAAGAAAGUAUCUGUGUCUGCCACACCUGGUCACACAAAGCACUUUCAGACUCUCUACGUGGAGCCUGGCCUCUGCCUGUGUGACUGUCCUGGCUUAGUGAUGCCAUCUUUCGUGUCUACCAAGGCAGAAAUGACUUGCAGCGGAAUCCUCCCAAUUGAUCAGAUGAGAGAUCAUGUUCCUCCUGUAUCAUUAAUAUCCUUUCUGCUUUGGAAACACUCUAGUUAUUACGUGUAUAUUAGGGCUUCAGGUUUAUUUGGGGCAUUUGAGGGAUUCAGAUUUGAUGAAGAAUUGAAAAUAUUAGUGAUCUGCACAAGUUUAUACUGUGAGAUAGCAUGAGAACUUCAGAAUAGAACCUC
rnacentral:sRNA from 1 species